rnacentral:rRNA from 1 species
CCCUUCCUACGGGAGGCAGCAGUGAGGAAUAUUGGUCAAUGGUCGGGAGACUGAACCAGCCAAGCCGCGUGAGGGAGGAAGGUACAGAGUAUCGUAAACCUCUUUUGUCAGGGAACAAAGACUGGGACGCGUCCCCGGAUGAGUGUACCUGAAGAAAAAGCAUCGGCUAACUCCGUGCCAGCAGCCGCGGUAAUACGGAGGAUGCGAGCGUUAUCCGGAUUUAUUGGGUUUAAAGGGUGCGCAGGCGGUCUGUUAAGUCAGCGGUCAAAGCCCGGGGCUCAACCCCGGCCCGCCGUGGAAACUGG